GUGGGGAAUAUUGGACAAUGGGCGCAAGCCUGAUCCAGCCAUGCCGCGUGAGUGAUGAAGGCCCUAGGGUUGUAAAGCUCUUUCACCGGUGAAGAUAAUGACGGUAACCGGAGAAGAAGCCCCGGCUAACUUCGUGCCAGCAGCCGCGGUAAUACGAAGGGGGCUAGCGUUGUUCGGAAUUACUGGGCGUAAAGCGCACGUAGGCGGGUUUUUAAGUCAGGGGUGAAAUCCCAGAGCUCAACUCUGGAACUGCCUUUGAUACUGGGUACCUAGAGUAUGGAAGAGGUAAGUGGAAUUCCGAGUGUAGAGGUGAAAUUCGUAGAUAUUCGGAGGAACACCAGUGGCGAAGGCGGCUUACUGGUCCAUUACUGACGCUGAGGUGCGAAAGCGUGGGGAGCAAACAGGAUUAGAUACCCCGGUAGUCC
rnacentral:rRNA from 1 species